AUUGAACGCUGGCGGCAUGCCUUACACAUGCAAGUCGAACGGCAGCACGGGAGCAAUCCUGGUGGCGAGUGGCGAACGGGUGAGUAAAGUAUCGGAGCGUGCCCAGUCGUGGGGGAUAACGUAGCGAAAGUUACGCUAAUACCGCAUACGAUCUAUGGAUGAAAGCGGGGGAUCGCAAGACCUCGCGCGAUUGGAGCGGCCGAUAUCAGAUUAGGUAGUUGGUGGGGUAAAGGCUCACCAAGCCGACGAUCUGUAGCUGGUCUGAGAGGACGACCAGCCACACUGGGACUGAGACACGGCCCAGACUCCUACGGGAGGCAGCAGUGGGGAAUUUUGGACAAUGGGCGAAAGCCUGAUCCAGCCAUGCCGCGUGCAGGAUGAAGGCCUUCGGGUUGUAAACUGCUUUUGUACGGAACGAAAAGGUUUGGGCUAAUAAGCUGAGCUCAUGACGGUACCGUAAGAAUAAGCACCGGCUAACUACGUGCCAGCCGCCGCUGUAA
rnacentral:rRNA from 1 species